GUUUAGAGGAAUGUUGUCUGGCUCGAGGUCAUGAAGAGUCGAUAUUUAACGAAAUACAAAACUCUAUAUGAUUCUCGGACCAGGCUUCAUCCCCCUCAAC
rfam:Brassica napus, WGS project CCCW01000000 data, contig: 17395